UACGUAGGGGGCAAGCGUUGUCCGGAUUUAUUGGGCGUAAAGAGCGUGUAGGCGGCCUGAAAGGUCAGCUGUGAAACUCGAGGCUCAACCUCGAGACGUCGGUUGAAACCAUCUGGCUAGAGUCCGGAAGAGGAGUGUGGGAAUUCCCGGUGUAGCGGUGAAAGUGCGCAGAUAUCGGGAAGAACACCCGUGGCGAAGGCGGCACUCUGGGGACGGUACUGACGCUGAGACGCGAAAGCGUGGGGAGCGAACGAGGA
rnacentral:rRNA from 1 species